AGUGAACGCUGGCGGUAGGCCUAACACAUGCAAGCCGAGCGGCAGCACAGUAAGAGCUUGCUCUUACGGGUGGCGAGUGGCGGACGGGUGAGGAAUACAUCGGAAUCUACUUUUUCGUGGGGGAUAACGUAGGGAAACUUACGCUAAUACCGCAUACGACCUACGGGUGAAAGCAGGGGAUCUUCGGACCUUGCGCGAUUGAGUGAGCCGAUGUCGGAUUAGCUAGUUGGCGGGGUAAAGGCCCACCAAGGCGACGAUCCGUAGCUGGUCUGAGAGGAUGAUCAGCCACACUGGAACUGAGACACGGUCCAGACUCCUACGGGAGGCAGCAGUGGGGAAUAUUGGACAAUGGGCGCAAGCCUGAUCCAGCCAUACCGCGUGGGUGAAGAAGGCCUUCGGGUUGUAAAGCCCUUUUGUUGGGAAAGAAAAGCAGCAGGUUAAUACCCCGCUGUUCUGACGGUACCCAAAGAAUAAGCACCGGCUAACUUCGUG
rnacentral:rRNA from 1 species